rnacentral:rRNA from 1 species
AUUGAACGCUGGCGGAAUGCUUUACACAUGCAAGUCGAACGGCAGCACGGACUUCGGUCUGGUGGCGAGCGGCGAACGGGUGAGUAAUGUAUCGGAACGUGCCCAGUCGUGGGGGAUAACGUAGUGAAAAUUACGCUAAUACCGCAUACGAUCUAUGGAUGAAAGCGGGGGAUCGCAAGACCUCGCGCGAUUGUAGCGGCCGAUAUCAGAUUAGGUAGUUGGUGGGGUAAAGGCCCACCAAGCCAACGAUCUGUAGCUGGUCUGAGAGGACGACCAGCCACACUGGAACUGAGACACGGUCCAGACUCCUACGGGAGGCAGCAGUGGGGAAUUUUGGACAAUGGGCGAAAGCCUGAUCCAGCCAUUCCGCGUGCAGGAUGAAGGCCCUCGGGUUGUAAACUGCUUUUGUACAGAACGAAAAGGUUUCUACUAAUACUAGGAGCUCAUGACGGUACCGUAAGAAUAAGCACCGGCUAACUACGUGCCAGCCGCCGCAGUAA